UUUGUUUUUCCUUAUUUUUAUUUACGUUAAAUUAGUUAGGUUAGUUUUUUAGUUUAUUAGGUUAGUUAGGCUAGUUAGUUAGGUUGUUAAAUUAGCUUAGUUUAGGUUCAGUUUUAGUUUAGGUUUAGUUAGGUUAGUUUCCUGUUUAGUAAAGGAGAAAAGGAGAAGAAGAAGAAGGAGAAAGGAGAAGAAGAAGCAGAAAGGAGAAGAAGAAGAAGGAGAAAGGAG
rnacentral:lncRNA from 1 species